AUGAAUGCUGUAGUGCUCAGAGGAAUAAUACACUUCCUAUUGGCAGCAAACCCAAGAGAAACUUCCUUAGAAGAAAGGACUGUCAAUUACCACUUAACAAGCCUGAAUUUUGGCUCCUGUAGAAAAGGCAAACAACACAAUAGCAACUCACUCCCCAGCGGCAGCCACAUCACUACCUGGUUGCUGCCCUCCAGUCACCUGGCAUGCAAACUGGGCUCCAGAAGGUGCUCGGCAAGUCCUUGUUGGGAGGCUGAUGCGUAAAGGCACGAGGCUGGAGAUAAUCCAUAAUCCGUCACUGACAGGGAGAGGCCAGCUGGGGUCCUAGCAGUCUGGCUGCACAGUGCUUCUGACCUCCCAUGGUCCUUGGCUCUCUUACAGCGGACAAAUCUGGCUGAACGUGGGAGGCCAGGCCAGGGGCAGCACACACAGCAUGAGGACAGGGAGGCUGUUCUGGAACGCUGGCAGGGGAUUUGCUUGUGUUUCCUCUGCAGCAGCCACCAGGACAUCCCUGUCUCCCUCGCGGUGCAUUCCACUCAAAUUUCCCCACCCAGCUUUCCCUCUGUCUCCCAUGGGCAGGACACCAAGUGAGUUAUAAUUAGAAUGCAAAUCACUUGGGAAGCUUUAAAAAUGCUCAUGCCUAGGCCCUGUUUCCAGACACUGUUGUUGAACUGAUCUCAAGUAGGACUCCAGGGUUGAUAUUCUUGAAAGUUCUUCAGGGGAUUUUUAGUGUGCAGACAGGGUCCAGAACCACUGCUGUCCAAUGUCCCAGUCCUGGGCCUCCACCCUUAAUCCCUUUGCCUCUCUUUCACACAGGAGCUACUGAUAACAACAGCAAUAAAUGUUAUUACUAUUAACAAUGGUGGCUAAUAAUUCCUGAGCAUUUAUUAUAUGCCAGGCACAUUUCUGUUUUACUUGUAUGAGUGCACUGAAUUGUUAUGAGUGUACUUGUUAUCCCCAUUUUUCAGGUGAAGAAAACUGGGGCACAGAGAGAGGUUAAAUGACUUACCCAAAAUUUCACAGCUAAUAAGUGCCUGAGCCAGGAUUUGAACCCAGGAAGACUGGCUCCAGCAUCUUCUCUCAUGACUGUUAACCUACACUGGCUCCCUGCACACAUUCAAUGCACAAAGGCUUACAGGGACCACAUAGGGUGAUCUCUAGAUACUAUACAGACAUGGUCACCUUCUCAAAUAAUCAUAUUUCUGAAGACAAAUAUCUGAUCCAAUCAUUUCUUAAUCCAAAGCCCUGAAUGGUUUGGGUUAGUAUCCCUAACUGCUUAUGGGAUACAAAUUCAAAUGAUACACAAAUACCUUCCUCAACUGUACCUGGCUACCCCUCUGGUAUCUACUCCCACCUUAAGCCACCUCAUCCUUCAAGAGUCCAGAAUUACUUGUACCUCCUCCAAACCACCACAGAACCCUAAAAGUGGGCUUGAAAACCAAGGAUUCCCUCCAUACUCCAGAUGCAGCUGUCAGCAUUCAAACUCCUCACAAACAUCUUUCUAAAACGAUUUAGAGACACUGGGACUAAACCUUCUCAAAGAGCCAGGUUGCAUACCCAUUUAGAAACUCAGUCCUUCAAGAAAUGCAAGCAGCAAUAUAAUACAAAUUUAAACUAUGCACAUAGCCAAGUAAAAAACAUUAGAUAUAUCAACUAUCCACUUGCACAAAACCCCUAAAAGUUUGAAAAUGGAAUUAAUCAUGGNNNNNNNNNNNNNNNNNNNNNNNNNNNNNNNNNNNNNNNNNNNNNNNNNNNNNNNNNNNNNNNNNNNNNNNNNNNNNNNNNNNNNNNNNNNNNNNNNNNACUUGCACAAAACCCCUAAAAGUUUGAAAAUGGAAUUAAUCAUGGUGAAACGGUACAUACUUUACAACUCACUGACUGAUUAGUUGUAACUUGCAGGUUAAAAUUCUUAUGUUCUAAUAAGCAUCUCUACUUAACUAGCACAGUAGGGACCACAUAGCCCCUGUUUUCCAAAACACUCCAACUGUAAGAGUGUUAAACUACAACCAUACAUUCUAAAACCUCUUAUAAAUCACACUGAUGACAAAUGAAAACAAUCAAAUCUGGGACAAAGAUCACAGGAAUUAAUUAUCACCGAAGAAAUGGUCAAGUAUAUCAUUCCUGAAAUGAAAACACAAGCAAAAUAAAAACUUUUCAAAGCGCACCUCAAUUCAGUUCAGUUCAGUUGCUCAGUCAUGUCCAACUCUUUGCGACC
rnacentral:lncRNA from 1 species